AUGUACCAGUGUGCACUCCGGUUCCUGCGCGCCGUCCACGCCCACCUGAC
rnacentral:sRNA from 1 species